rnacentral:rRNA from 1 species
UGCCAGCANHMGCGGUUAUACUUAACACUUCAAUUUAUUAUUAUAGGUUUAAACAUUUGCUUUAAAAAACUUACUAAUUAGGUGAAAUUUAAUAUAGUUUCAUUCAAUUAUGCUUUUCAUAAAAAAUUUGUAUGGAAAACUAGGAUUAGAGACCCUAUUAUUCUCAAAUAUAUUUUAUAACCUAAAUAUUAAAAACGUACGUGUUUCAAAUUUAAAGAACAUGGCUAUUAUCUAGUAAUUUUGGGGGAUUCUGCUUUUAUAAACAAUAAUCCAUGAUAAAUUUUUCCUUUAUUAAAAUUUGUAUAUCGCCGUUUUUUUAUAGAGAUAGAAAUAUAUAAAUUAAUACUUAAUAGUAAUAAAUCAGGUCUUGAUAUAAUAAAUAAAGGUUUAAAGUUGAAUACAGUGUUAUGAUUUAUAAGGAAACUUAAAAUAAAUAGGACUUAAUAGUAAUAAAAAUUCAAAAUAUUUUUAUGAAACAUUACUCUAGAAAGGUACAUAUCGCCCGUCGUUCUUUCUUCGCAGAAAGAWAAGUCGUAACAHAGUA